GAGUUUGAUCAUGGCUCAGAUUGAACGCUGGCGGCAGGCCUAACACAUGCAAGUCGGACGGUAGCACAGAGGAGCUUGCUCCUUGGGUGACGAGUGGCGGACGGGUGAGUAAUGUCUGGGGAUCUGCCCGAUAGAGGGGGAUAACCACUGGAAACGGUGGCUAAUACCGCAUAACGUCGCAAGACCAAAGAGGGGGACCUUCGGGCCUCUCACUAUCGGAUGAACCCAGAUGGGAUUAGCUAGUAGGCGGGGUAAUGGCCCACCUAGGCGACGAUCCCUAGCUGGUCUGAGAGGAUGACCAGCCACACUGGAACUGAGACACGGUCCAGACUCCUACGGGAGGCAGCAGUGGGGAAUAUUGCACAAUGGGCGCAAGCCUGAUGCAGCCAUGCCGCGUGUAUGAAGAAGGCCUUCGGGUUGUAAAGUACUUUCAGCGGGGAGGAAGGCGACGGGGUUAAUAACCCUGUCGAUUGACGUUACCCGCAGAAGAAGCACCGGCUAACUCCGUGCCAGCAGCCGCGGUAAUACGGAGGGUGCAAGCGUUAAUCGGAAUUACUGGGCGUAAAGCGCACGCAGGCGGUCUGUUAAGUCAGAUGUGAAAUCCCCGGGCUUAACCUGGGAACUGCAUUUGAAACUGGCAGGCUUGAGUCUUGUAGAGGGGGGUAGAAUCCCAGGUGUAGCGGUGAAAUGCGUAGAGAUCUGGAGGAAUACCGGUGGCGAAGGCGCCCCCCUGGACAAAGACUGAUGCUCAGGUGCGAAAGCGUGGGGAGCAAACAGGAUUGGAUACCCUGGUAGUCCAC
rnacentral:rRNA from 1 species